rnacentral:rRNA from 1 species
AUUGAACGCUGGCGGCAGGCCUAACACAUGCAAGUCGAGCGAGCGGCGGACGGGUGAGUACUGUCUGGGAAACUGCCUGAUGGAGGGGGAUAACUACUGGAAACGGUAGCUAAUACCGCAUACCAUCAGAUGUGCCCAGAUGGGAUGGGCUAGUGGGUGGGGUAAUGGCUCACCUAGGCGACGAUCCCUAGCUGGUGUGAGAGGAUGACCAGCCACACUGGAAGUGAGACAGGGCCCAGACUCCUACGGGAGGCAGCAGUGGGGAAUAUUGCACAAUGGGCGCAAGCCUGAUACAGCCAUGCCGCGUGUGUGAAGAAGGCGUUCGGGUUGUAAAGCACUUUCAGCGGGGAGGCGGUACCCGCAGAAGAAGCACCGGCUAACUCCGUGCCAGCAGCCGCGGUAAUUC